UGUUCUUAAAAAAAAAAAAAAAUAAAUAAAAAAUAAAAAAUGGGGAGAAUAAAAAGGCAAAAAAAAGGAUUACUUUUUCUUCCAGAUCUUUGUUUUCUUAUAAUCUCACAAACUAGCGGGACUCCCUGCUGGCAUUAGAAUCUAACUCUGAUGCUAUUUCAAAUCGAUCUUUAAAGCCUAGAAAUUCAAAAACAAACUUUGAUGUCCUCCACAUACAAUUUUUCUCUUGACACAUUAACAAAUCUCUGUGAAAUGCUGUUGUACUAUGACACAUGGCUUUGUGAUUGUGACCUCUUCUUAUUCAUGUCUCUUACUAUGUUUAUCCUUUUGACAGGAAAAAGACUCAGUAUGAUUAGAAGAACAAAGCCAAAAGUGAAGACCAAAUUAGAAUUUAUUCUCAUCAUUAGAAAGUUUCAGUUAAAAUCAAUGAAUGUGGAAAGCGAAGCCAUUGAAAAGAGAUCCAGAGCAUCUGCAUGAAGACCUAUGCUACCAUAGAAGGGCUUUGAAUGAGAAAAAUUAAAGCUGUUUAAAACAUUAUCGUUCAGUGGCAUUAUGUGGUAAGCAGCCCCCAGAAGACCUAAUCUGGCAAUACACGUAAGCAUAUACAUGUUUUAAUCAUGUACUGCAGUGACGGGGAUUCUUGAAAUGCUUAAAUUCUGUACUCAGUAUAUGCUUAAGUUUCGUACUCACUUAGGUUCCUGGUGUAUUGUGUCAAAUGUCACAGCUUAAAAAAUCACAAUCCCAUUAAAGCUAGAUUCUUCUCUUUGUUUGCCCUUUUACUAUAUGUCCGACAUGCAACAUUAAUAUUUAUAAGCACAUGGAAGGAAUAUUUACAAGCCUUUUCCUGUAAAUAAGAUGCUUGGAGUUUUUACAGCAUUUCAUAGUUGUAUUUUUCUUCAUCAUUUUUUGGCUUAUUUUUUCUGGUUUCAUGUAUCUUCCUGAAGUUUUACACUUUAAAAUUGCCAUUCAUUUACCACACUGAAAAUAAUCAGCAUCUUUCUUUCUCUUCUGCUUUUGAGCUGUUAGCUCAGCUUCUAUUUUUUAUUUUUACUGUCAGUGGUUUUCCAAAUCUUUGGCUUUUAUUCAGGCUCUCUUUUUCUUUCCCUUUAUAUCUUUCCCAUUUUGUUUCUAUCUCCAUUGCUUUACCUGAUUUUUGCUAUGCAUCAGUAGUGACAGGGAAUGGACAAACAAUGUCUAUGGUAUUUUCUUUGCUUAAAACCACCAGGAAAAUCUCCAGUCCCUUGGUAUUUCUGACACAGCAUGUUUAGAAAGUGAAAUGCAAAGAAUAACAUGC
rnacentral:lncRNA from 1 species